rnacentral:lncRNA from 1 species
GUUUUAUGAAACUGAAAACUGAGUCAAAGGCAGAAAAUUAUGGUUUUGCAGAUAGAUUGGACAACUGUGGUUCUGGUGUUUGAGUUUCAGGUUUCAAGUAAAGAUUUUGUGUUUUAGCAGUUGAAAAAAAACUGUAAGACACAGUCUUAACAUGGAGUUAACAAGUUAAUGCAACUGGCCCUGAACUACACAAAGCUCCAGCAACAGAUUGAGGAAUUAUUCAAAGAUGCCAGAAGGCCCAACUGGAUGUCCAUACUUCGUUUUAUCCAUACAAAUCUUGACUUUGUCAUGGGAGAAGGAUGGAGGAUGCAGUGACGUGGGACUCGUAGGCAGCCACCCCUCCUCUACACAGCAGAGCAGGAUGGCCGCCCACUCUACUGCAUCAUGGAUUGCAAACAGAAGAGAUGAAAUAGAUGGACAGGUCUUCACUCAGGCACGGCUCGGUUUCUGAUGGAUCUCCCAGUG